GCCAGCGUGGCUCAACGGUAGAGCAACGCACUUGUAAUGCGUAGGUUGUGGGUUCGAUUCCUACCGCUGGCACCA
rnacentral:tRNA from 2 species